UCCUUACCAAUUGGAGUUCAGGUGUGGCCCAGCCAUGAAGAAAGUUUUGCCUCACCUCAAUUUGGCUUUGGUGGUCUCUUCAACAUCAGGCUACAACAGAUAGAGGUUCCACUGAGAUCUGAAGACCACCUCAACUCUGGAGCCUGAAGCGGAAAAGCUAGGGGAGUGCUUCCUCUGGAGAAAUGUUCCUUGGUCCCUGCCUUCCAUCCUCAGACUUGGCUUAAGUAAGGUGACUGGCCCAGAUGGCAGCCUGUGAGCUGCUCCCAGACACUUGGAAUCAGAUCUCUAGGGACAUUUCCCCUCCUCCCAGCUUCUCCUGUUCAUCUGUGUUCUGUAGCUGGAGGAUGAAGAGACUGUUCAUUUGCCUUCCAGCUGGAUUGAACAGUUUUGAGAACUCUGUGACCCAGACCCAUCUCCAACCAGCGGGAAUGAUGGAGUCACACCAAACCACAUGCUUCGCAGUACUGUUGACGCUUCUUCCUCCCUGAGGAAAGCCUUAUUCUGCAUUGUAUUUUCUGCAAAAAUCUGCUCAUAUAUAAAAAAUAAAAUAAAAGAAUCCUCCCUCAACCUCACUGUACUUGUUAUCAGAAGUAUUUCACUUACGAGGCAAAUUGCUUGACUUCUUUAAACUUGAGUUUCUUUGUAGAAGUAGAAGAAUUUAUAGUAGUAAUUCUAACACAUGGUUGUCUGUACUGACUUUUAAAUAUAUGUUAUAUUUUGAGGUGCUUAACACUGCACUUGGUAGACAGUAUGUGUCUAAUAAAUGCUUUCUCUAAUUGUUAUCAUUAUCAGUGCCAAAUGAAUGGCCCUGUAGAGCUCUUAAGUUUUUUUUGUCUUGUUUUGUUUUACAAAACUUUCUUCCUUUUCUAGCCAUACAGACCUUGAAGAUCUUCAUUUCUACAUUAAGUUCAUAUUUAGCAUACUGUGUAACUGAUAGUGGACAUUUAAUAAAUGCCUUUUGAAGAAAGCUUUUUUAAAA